rnacentral:rRNA from 1 species
GAACCUGCGGAGGGAUCAUUACCGAGUUUAC